GUGAAAGACCUGGGCGCAAGCUGGGAAGUGCAUUGGAGACUGGCGGGCUGGAGUGCGGUAGAGGAUGGCGGAAUUCCCGGUGUAGCAGUGAAAUGCGUAGAGAUCGGGAGGAACAUCCGUGGCGAAGGCGGCCAGCUGGACCAGCACUGACACUGAGGCACGAAAGCGUGGGGAGCAAACA
rnacentral:rRNA from 1 species